AGAACGAACGCUGGCGGCAUGCCUAAUACAUGCAAGUCGAACGAACUCUUCGGAGUUAGUGGCGCACGGGUGCGUAACGCGUGGGAAUCUGCCCCUUGGUUCGGAAUAACAGUUGGAAACGACUGCUAAUACCGGAUGAUGACGAAAGUCCAAAGAUUUAUCGCCAAGGGAUGAGCCCGCGUAGGAUUAGCUAGUUGGUGAGGUAAGGCUCACCAAGGCAACGAUCCUUAGCUGGUCUGAGAGGAUGAUCAGCCACACUGGGACUGGAGACACGGCCCAGACCUCCGUACGGGAGGCAGCAGUAGGGAAUAGUUGGAACAAGUGGGACGAAAGCCUAGACUCCAGCAAUCGCCGCGUGAAGUGAGUGAAGGUCCGUUAGGGUUAGUAACGGUCUUACCUUUUACCCGGAGUA
rnacentral:rRNA from 1 species